rnacentral:rRNA from 1 species
GAUGAACGCUGGCGGCGUGCUUAACACAUGCAAGUCGAACGAAGCACUUAAUGAGAUUUCUUCGGAUUGAUUAUUUUGUGACUGAGUGGCGGACGGGUGAGUAACGCGUGGGUAACCUGCCCCAGACCGGGGGAUAACAGUCGGAAACGACUGCUAAUACCGCAUAAGCGCACAGUGCCGCAUGGCACAGUGUGAAAAACUCCGGUGGUCUGGGAUGGACCCGCGUCCGAUUAGUUAGUUGGCGGGGUAACGGCCCACCAAGACCGCGAUCGGUAGCCGACCUGAGAGGGUGACCGGCCACAUUGGGACUGAGACACGGCCCAGACUCCUACGGGAGGCAGCAGUGGGGAAUAUUGCACAAUGGGGGAAACCCUGAUGCAGCGACGCCGCGUGGAGGAAGAAGGUCUUCGGAUUGUAAACUCCUGUUGUUGGGGAAGAUAAUGACGGUACCCAACAAGGAAGUGACGGCUAACUACGUG